GUACUUCAUUAUUGUAAGUCGCUUUGGACAAAAGCGUCUGCCAAAUGUAAUGUA
rfam:Astyanax mexicanus chromosome 16, whole genome shotgun sequence.